rnacentral:tRNA from 1 species
CGGGAUAGCUCAGUUGGUAGAGCAUG